UAGUCCACGCCGUAAACGAUGGUCACUAGCUGUGUGGAUUUCGGUCUGCGUGGCUAAGCGAAAGUGAUAAGUGACCCACCUGGGGAGUACGUUCGCAAGAAUGAAACUCAAAGGAAUUGACGGGGGCCCGCACAAGCGGUGGAGCAUGUGGUUUAAUUCGAUGAUACGCGAGGAACCUUACCAGGGCUUAAAUGUAAGUUGCAUGAUCUAGAGAUAGGUCUUUCUUCGGACUACUUACAAGGUGCUGCAUGGUUGUCGUCAGCUCGUGCCGUGAGGUGUCAGGUUAAGUCCUAUAACGAGCGCAACCCCUGUUGUUAGUUGCCAGCGAGUCAAGUCGGGAACUCUAACAAGACUGCCGGUGCAAACCGUGAGGAAGGUGGGGAUGACGUCAAAUCAUCACGGGCCCUUACGUCCUGGGGGCUACACACGUGCUACAAUGGUAGGUACAGCGAGCAGCCACUUCGCG
rnacentral:rRNA from 1 species